rnacentral:rRNA from 1 species
GGGUUGUGAGGUUAAGCGACUAAGCGUACACGGUGGAUGCCCUGGCAGUCAGAGGCGAUGAAGGACGUGCUAAUCUGCGAUAAGCGUCGGUAAGGUGAUAUGAACCGUUAUAACCGGCGAUUUCCGAAUGGGGAAACCCAGUGUGUUUCGACACACUAUCAUUAACUGAAUCCAUAGGUUAAUGAGGCGAACCGGGGGAACUGAAACAUCUAAGUACCCCGAGGAAAAGAAAUCAACCGAGAUUCCCCCAGUAGCGGCGAGCGAACGGGGAGGAGCCCAGAGCCUGAAUCAGUGUGUGUGUUAGUGGAAGCGUCUGGAAAGGCGCGCGAUACAGGGUGACAGCCCCGUACACAAAAAUGCACAUGCUGUGAGCUCGAUGAGUAGGGCGGGACACGUGGUAUCCUGUCUGAAUAUGGGGGGACCAUCCUCCAAGGCUAAAUACUCCUGACUGACCGAUAGUGAACCAGUACCGUGAGGGAAAGGCGAAAAGAACCCCGGCGAGGGGAGUGAAAAAGAACCUGAAACCGUGUACGUACAAGCAGUGGGAGCACGCUUCGGCGUGUGACUGCGUACCUUUUGUAUAAUGGGUCAGCGACUUAUAUUCUGUAGCAAGGUUAACCGAAUAGGGGAGCCGAAGGGAAACCGAGUCUUAACUGGGCGUUAAGUUGCAGGGUAUAGACCCGAAACCCGGUGAUCUAGCCAUGGGCAGGUUGAAGGUUGGGUAACACUAACUGGAGGACCGAACCGACUAAUGUUGAAAAAUUAGCGGAUGACUUGUGGCUGGGGGUGAAAGGCCAAUCAAACCGGGAGAUAGCUGGUUCUCCCCGAAAGCUAUUUAGGUAGCGCCUCGUGAAUUCAUCUCCGGGGGUAGAGCACUGUUUCGGCAAGGGGGUCAUCCCGACUUACCAACCCGAUGCAAACUGCGAAUACCGGAGAAUGUUAUCACGGGAGACACACGGCGGGUGCUAACGUCCGUCGUGAAGAGGGAAACAACCCAGACCGCCAGCUAAGGUCCCAAAGUCAUGGUUAAGUGGGAAACGAUGUGGGAAGGCCCAGACAGCCAGGAUGUUGGCUUAGAAGCAGCCAUCAUUUAAAGAAAGCGUAAUAGCUCACUGGUCGAGUCGGCCUGCGCGGAAGAUGUAACGGGGCUAAACCAUGCACCGAAGCUGCGGCAGCGACACUAUGUGUUGUUGGGUAGGGGAGCGUUCUGUAAGCCUGUGAAGGUGUGCUGUGAGGCAUGCUGGAGGUAUCAGAAGUGCGAAUGCUGACAUAAGUAACGAUAAAGCGGGUGAAAAGCCCGCUCGCCGGAAGACCAAGGGUUCCUGUCCAACGUUAAUCGGGGCAGGGUGAGUCGACCCCUAAGGCGAGGCCGAAAGGCGUAGUCGAUGGGAAACAGGUUAAUAUUCCUGUACUUGGUGUUACUGCGAAGGGGGGACGGAGAAGGCUAUGUUGGCCGGGCGACGGUUGUCCCGGUUUAAGCGUGUAGGCUGGUUUUCCAGGCAAAUCCGGAAAAUCAAGGCUGAGGCGUGAUGACGAGGCACUACGGUGCUGAAGCAACAAAUGCCCUGCUUCCAGGAAAAGCCUCUAAGCAUCAGGUAACAUCAAAUCGUACCCCAAACCGACACAGGUGGUCAGGUAGAGAAUACCAAGGCGCUUGAGAGAACUCGGGUGAAGGAACUAGGCAAAAUGGUGCCGUAACUUCGGGAGAAGGCACGCUGAUAUGUAGGUGAAGUCCCUCGCGGAUGGAGCUGAAAUCAGUCGAAGAUACCAGCUGGCUGCAACUGUUUAUUAAAAACACAGCACUGUGCAAACACGAAAGUGGACGUAUACGGUGUGACGCCUGCCCGGUGCCGGAAGGUUAAUUGAUGGGGUCAGCGCAAGCGAAGCUCUUGAUCGAAGCCCCGGUAAACGGCGGCCGUAACUAUAACGGUCCUAAGGUAGCGAAAUUCCUUGUCGGGUAAGUUCCGACCUGCACGAAUGGCGUAAUGAUGGCCAGGCUGUCUCCACCCGAGACUCAGUGAAAUUGAACUCGCUGUGAAGAUGCAGUGUACCCGCGGCAAGACGGAAAGACCCCGUGAACCUUUACUAUAGCUUGACACUGAACAUUGAGCCUUGAUGUGUAGGAUAGGUGGGAGGCUUUGAAGUGUGGACGCCAGUCUGCAUGGAGCCGACCUUGAAAUACCACCCUUUAAUGUUUGAUGUUCUAACGUUGACCCGUAAUCCGGGUUGCGGACAGUGUCUGGUGGGUAGUUUGACUGGGGCGGUCUCCUCCUAAAGAGUAACGGAGGAGCACGAAGGUUGGCUAAUCCUGGUCGGACAUCAGGAGGUUAGUGCAAUGGCAUAAGCCAGCUUGACUGCGAGCGUGACGGCGCGAGCAGGUGCGAAAGCAGGUCAUAGUGAUCCGGUGGUUCUGAAUGGAAGGGCCAUCGCUCAACGGAUAAAAGGUACUCCGGGGAUAACAGGCUGAUACCGCCCAAGAGUUCAUAUCGACGGCGGUGUUUGGCACCUCGAUGUCGGCUCAUCACAUCCUGGGGCUGAAGUAGGUCCCAAGGGUAUGGCUGUUCGCCAUUUAAAGUGGUACGCGAGCUGGGUUUAGAACGUCGUGAGACAGUUCGGUCCCUAUCUGCCGUGGGCGCUGGAGAACUGAGGGGGGCUGCUCCUAGUACGAGAGGACCGGAGUGGACGCAUCACUGGUGUUCGGGUUGUCAUGCCAAUGGCACUGCCCGGUAGCUAAAUGCGGAAGAGAUAAGUGCUGAAAGCAUCUAAGCACGAAACUUGCCCCGAGAUGAGUUCUCCCUGACCCUUUAAGGGUCCUGAAGGAACGUUGAAGACGACGACGUUGAUAGGCCGGGUGUGUAAGCGCAGCGAUGCGUUGAGCUAACCGGUACUAAUGAACCGUGAGGCUUAACCUUACAACGCCGAAG